UGUUAGAUAGCCAUGCAUGUCUAAGUAUAAGCAAUUUAUACAGUGAAACUGCGAAUGGCUCAUUAAAUCAGUUAUCGUUUAUUUGAUAGUUCCUUUACUACAUGGUAUAACUGUGGUAAUUCUAGAGCUAAUACAUGCUUAAAAUCUCAACCUCUGGAAGAGAUGUAUUUAUUAGAUAAAAAAUCAAUGUCUUCGGACUCUUUGAUGAUUCAUAAUAACUUUUCGAAUCGCAUGGCCUUGUGCUGGCGAUGGUUCAUUCAAAUUUCUGCCCUAUCAACUUUCGAUGGUAGGAUAGUGGCCUACCAUGGUUUCAACGGGUAACGGGGAAUAAGGGUUCGAUUCCGGAGAGGGAGCCUGAGAAACGGCUACCACAUCCAAGGAAGGCAGCAGGCGCGCAAAUUACCCAAUCCUGAUACAGGGAGGUAGUGACAAUAAAUAACGAUACAGGGCCCAUUUGGGUCUUGUAAUUGGAAUGAGUACAAUGUAAAUACCUUAACGAGGAACAAUUGGAGGGCAAGUCUGGUGCCAGCAGCCGCGGUAAUUCCAGCUCCAAUAGCGUAUAUUAAAGUUGUUGCAGUUAAAAAGCUCGUAGUUGAACUUUGGGUUCGCUUAGCCGGUCCGUUUUUCGUGUACUGGAUCUAAGCGGACCUUUCCUUCUGGCUAACCUUGGGUCCUUGUGGCUCUUGGCGAACCAGGACUUUUACUUUGAAAAAAUUAGAGUGUUCAAAGCAGGCGUAUUGCUCGAAUAUAUUAGCAUGGAAUAAUAGAAUAGGACGUUUGGUUCUAUUUUGUUGGUUUCUAGGACCAUCGUAAUGAUUAAUAGGGACGGUCGGGGGCAUCAGUAUUCAAUUGUCAGAGGUGAAAUUCUUGGAUUUAUUGAAGACUAACUACUGCGAAAGCAUUUGCCAAGGACGUUUUCAUUAAUCAAGAACGAAAGUUAGGGGAUCGAAGAUGAUCAGAUACCGUCGUAGUCUUAACCAUAAACUAUGCCGACUAGGGAUCGGGUGGUGUUUUUUUAAUGACCCACUCGGCACCUUACGAGAAAUCAAAGUCUUUGGGUUCUGGGGGGAGUAUGGUCGCAAGGCUGAAACUUAAAGGAAUUGACGGAAGGGCACCACCAGGAGUGGAGCCUGCGGCUUAAUUUGACUCAACACGGGGAAACUCACCAGGUCCAGACACAAUAAGGAUUGACAGAUUGAGAGCUCUUUCUUGAUUUUGUGGGUGGUGGUGCAUGGCCGUUCUUAGUUGGUGGAGUGAUUUGUCUGCUUAAUUGCGAUAACGAACGAGACCUUAACCUACUAAAUAGUGAUGCUAGCAUUUGCUGGAAGUUCACUUCUUAGAGGGACUAUCGAUUUCAAGUCGAUGGAAGUUUGAGGCAAUAACAGGUCUGUGAUGCCCUUAGACGUUCUGGGCCGCACGCGCGCUACACUGACGGAGCCAGCGAGUCUAACCUUGGCCGAGAGGCAAGGGUAAUCUUGUGAAACUCCGUCGUGCUGGGGAUAGAGCAUUGUAAUUUUUGCUCUUCAACGAGGAAUUCCUAGUAAGCGCAAGUCAUCAGCUUGCGUUGAUUACGUCCCUGCCCUUUGUACACACCGCCCGUCGCUAGUACCGAUUGAAUGGCUUAGUGAGGCUUCAGGAUCUGCUUAGAGAAGGGGGCAACUCCAUCUCAGAGCGGAGAAUCUAGUCAAACUUGGUCAUUUAGAGGAACUAAAAGUCGUAACAAGGUUUCCGUAGGUGAACCUGCGGAAGGAUCAUUAGAGAAAUCUAUUGAAGGGAGUUUUAGGCAGAGAUUUGAGAUAGCCAGCGCUUAAUUGCGCGGCGAUCUUGAGUUUCAUUCAAAUGCUUAUUACUUUCCAACUUCUACACACUGUGGAGUUUUUAUUCUACUUUUUUCUUUGGGUGAACUUUGUUUGCCCAGAGGUAACAAACACAAACAAUUUUGUAUAUUUUAUUAAUUUGUCAAACCAAUUUCGUUAUGAAAUACAAACUUUAAAACUUUCAACAACGGAUCUCUUGGUUCUCGCAUCGAUGAAGAACGCAGCGAAAUGCGAUACGUAAUGUGAAUUGCAGAAUUCCGUGAAUCAUCGAAUCUUUGAACGCACAUUGCGCCCUUUGGUAUUCCAAAGGGCAUGCCUGUUUGAGCGUCAUUUCCUUCUCAAACACUCGUGUUUGGUAGUGAGUGAUACUCUUUCCAGGGUUAACUUGAAAUUGCAAGCCUGUUUGGCUGUGCGCUGGCUCGGAUAAAGCUAUUUGUCCAGUCUGCCAAUACCAAAGUCGUAUUAGGUUUUACCAACUUCGGCGGAUGGUGCUGGUGGGUGUUAUAAAGACUUCUAGUGUGUUCAAUGCUAAUGUACUGUCUGGCGAACAAUAUUCUCAAAGUUUGACCUCAAAUCAGGUAGGGCUACCCGCUGAACUUAAGCAUAUCAAUAAGCGGAGGAAAAGAAACCAACCGGGAUUGCCUUAGUAACGGCGAGUGAAGCGGCAAAAGCUCAAAUUUGAAAUCUGGUACCUUCGGUGCCCGAGUUGUAAUUUGUAGAAUUUAUUUUGGGGCUGUUCCUUAUCUAUGUUCCUUGGAACAGGACGUCAUAGAGGGUGAGAAUCCCGUAUGAUGAGGAGUGCAGUUCUUUGUAAAAUAUUUUCGAAGAGUCGAGUUGUUUGGGAAUGCAGCUCUAAGUGGGUGGUAAAUUCCAUCUAAAGCUAAAUAUUGGCGAGAGACCGAUAGCGAACAAGUACAGUGAUGGAAAGAUGAAAAGAACUUUGAAAAGAGAGUGAAAAAGUACGUGAAAUUGUUGAAAGGGAAGGGCAUUUGAUCAGACAUGGUGUUUUGUGCCCUCUGCUCCUUGUGGGUAGGGGAAUCUCGCAGCUCACUGGGCCAGUAUCAGUUUUGGCGGUAGGAUAAAUCCAUUGGAAUGUAACUUGCCUCGGUAAGUAUUAUAGACUUUGGGAAUACUGCCAGCCGGGACUGAGGUAUGCGCUUGCAAGGAUACUGCAUAG
rnacentral:rRNA from 1 species